UAGGGAAUAUUGGGGCAAUGGGGCGCAAGCCUGACCCAGCAACGCCGCGUGAGGGAAGAAGGUUUUCGGAUUGUAAACCUCUGUCCUAUGUGACGAAGGAAGCGACGGUAGCAUAGGAGGAAGCCCCGGCUAACUACGUGCCAGCAGCCGCGGUAAUACGUAGGGGGCAAGCGUUAUCCGGAUUUACUGGGUGUAAAGGGAGCGUAGGCGGCCAUGCAAGUCAGAAGUGAAAGCCCGGGGCUCAACCCCGGGACUGCUUUUGAAACUGUAAGGCUAGAUUGCCGGAGAGGUAAGCGGAAUUCCUAGUGUAGCGGUGAAAUGCGUAGAUAUUAGGAGGAACACCAGUGGCGAAGGCGGCUUACUGGACGGUCAAUGACGCUGAGGCUCGAAAGCGUGGGGAGCAAACAGGAUUAGAUACCCUGGUAGU
rnacentral:rRNA from 1 species